rnacentral:rRNA from 1 species
CCUACGGGGGGCUGCAGUGAGGAAUAUUGCGCAAUGGAGGCAACUCUGACGCAGCCAUGCCGCGUGCAGGAAGAAGGCGCUACGCGUUGUAAACUGCUUUUAUCCGGGAAGAAACCCCUCGACGUGUCGAGGGUUGACGGUACCGGAGGAAUAAGCACCGGCUAACUUCGUGCCAGCAGCCGCGGUAAUACGAAGGGUGCAAGCGUUAUCCGGAUUCAUUGGGUUGAAAGGGUGCGUUUGCGUCAGGUUAGAAAUCCUGCAGCUCAACUGUAGACUUGCCAUUGAUACUGGCGUUCUUGAGUGCGCUUGAAGUAGGCGGAAUGUGCCGUGUAGCGGUGAAAUGCUUAGAUAUGGCACAGAACACCAAUUGCGAAGGCAGCUUACUAAGGCGAUACUGACGCUGAGGCACGAAAGCGUGGGGAUCGAACAGGAUUAGAUACCCGUGUAGUC